UAGGACCUCCUGCCUGAAGUCACCCGGCCACCAGGAGAAAGUCGACUUGCAUUGCGACUUCCACUAAAGCCCAGUUCUUCGUGUAACACUGAAGGCUUUUGAAGAGCCACAGGCCCGAGCCCUAGCUACGGCGUACCUUGAUUGAGGCAGUUUGCUAGAUGCAGAAUACCCUGCUUCGAGGAGUUGAUUCAGGGAAGGCACCACUGGCUCACCAGUAACCAUUUUGACUUGUUAGAAACCCACAGGGAUGUGUGCUGCGUGUGCCCAUGGAAAUGGGGGCCUGAUGCAACUAGCCUUGCUUUCCCAUUUUGAAAGCUCCAUUCAUGCUGCCUUAAAGCUACGUGAAAUUCACUGCUGUUGACAGGCCUCUAGCCACUGUACGCCUGCUUUUGGGAAGAAAAUGAGUUUCCUCUAUCUAAACCAGGUGCUUCCAUGGCUUGGGUGGGGCUCAGCCUGCCAUGCUCUAGAGCUAAAGGGAAGGAAACUCAAUGUGAGUACUUGCCUCGAGGAAAGGCCCUGAGUAUCCGUACAGAAAGGGAGGCGUGCAGCUGUUUCCAUGAGGUCUUAGUCGCUGUUCUGCUGUAGUUUAAAGGAAGUACCCUUUUCAGGACACCUAGGCCCCUCUGGUGUGCAUCAUUACCCUCCAGGAUCACUGAGUACCUCCAGACCCCUGUGGGCCUGCUGAGCAACAUCGAGGCCCAUAGGUCGGUUCCUCUUAGGCCCUCUGUGUAUGCAGACUGAUGGGCAACACAGUGAAGGUUCCUUAAGGAGAGCUACAUUUCCAGAAUUCUCGAACUGCCUCAGGACCCCAUUUCUGGACAGCCCGACGUGCUUGGAAGUCUUCGUCAUGACCGUCGUCUGAGCUGCCUAGGGAAAACACUCUGCUUACAGAUCUUCUAGGAUCUCGUACCUGAAGUCACUCUUCUCGAGGAGAAAUUCAACAUCCUACCGUGCUGUGUCGCUAACAGGACACUCAGCAUGAGCACUUGCCUCAACGUAAGGCCCGAAUUGCCGUGCGGAAGCGGAGGCGCGCAGCAGUUUCCAUGAGGCCAUAGCCGCUGCUCUGCAUUAUCUUGAAGGCAGUACGCUUUUCAGGACACCUAGGAGCCUCGCUUGGGCACCCUAUUACCGGCAAGAAGAGUGAGUACCCCCAGGACCCCCUGGGCCUGCUAAGCACCUGCCAGGCCCGUAACCCGUCAGAGCCAUUCUGUGUAUGCCGAGGAUAGGGCAACACACUGCCCUCCUUCAUGGGACAGCUUGAAAUCCCCAGCGCUCCCACAGGUUCACGAAGACCCUUCUAGGAUGUCCAACAUGCCUGGCCUCUAGCCACUGUAGGUCUGGCUCUGGGCAGAAAAUGAGUUUCCUCUAUCUAAACGACGUGCUUCCAUGGCCGGUGUUGAGCUCAGCCUACAAUGCUCUACAGGACCUCGUAGUUGAAGUCACUCUGCUCGAGGAGAAAUUCAGCAUCCUACCAUGCUGUGUCGCUAACGGGACACUCUGCAUGAGCGCUUGCCUCAAGAUUCCUCGAACAACCUCAGGACCACAUUUCUGGCCUGUCCGCCGUGCCAUGGAAGUCUUCGUUAUGGCCGUCGUCUGACCUGCCGUGGGCAAACAUUCCGCUUACAAUUUUUCUAGGACCUCGUACCUGUAGUCACUCUGCUCGAGGAGAAAUUCACCAUCCUACCAUGCUGUGUCGCUAACGGGACACUGAGCAUGAGCACUUGUCUCGAGGCCGGGCCAUGCAGCAUGUGGGAUUUUAGUUCCCCCACCAAGGAUUGAACCUGCCCCCCUGCAGUGGAAGCCCUGAGUCUUCACCUCUGGACCAGCAGGGAAGUCCCAGAGAUUCUGCAUUUAAACUCUAUAUCUGCCCAGUUUCUGUGUCCUGUGUUCCUGAGCGGCACGUGUUCGUAGAAGGGAGGUAAGAUGUGUGGACUCUCUUUUCUGGUUGUUGGCUGAGUAUCUAAUGUCCACUGUGGGUCAUCUAAGGGCCGAGACCAAGUACUCUGUUCCUGCUGUGAUCCGUGCUUCUGCUACCACAUACUGCACAGGGUAAGUACCUCAAAGUCCUAGCUGAACAGCUAAUAGAGAGACAGGUCUCACCGUUGCUUCUCCACCUGCAUCUUACAGAGUUGGAAAGUAGGAACUGCAGCCCAGCAAGCCACGGACCCAGGCAAUCCUAAAACUGCAAAGUCGCCUGUGUUGAUUCCAGCCAGCUUUUAGUAAUUAAAUCUGCGACUCCUGUAAGAAGAGAUUUCAGAAGAUGUGUACCUUCUACAGAAUUCCCAUUUAGUGAGGGGCGAUUGAAAAGGUAUACACAAUUUUAAUCUAUUUAUUUUACUAAUAGCAUAUCUUAAUGAUUGAAAAAUGAACUUUCCUGUAAAUAAAAAGAAAACCAGAAAGUAUUCAUACUUUACACACCUAGUGUUUACUAUCUAAUGGGCCUGCUUCGACUUCCGCUCUCUCGUCUAUCUGAGCCUCCACGAUGGACAGGACUCUCCUGGUGCAAGUGACGUGGGGUGAAGCUGGACGGUUGGUUUUCUGCUCAACCUCUGCUUCCUCUCUGCAUCCUGGACUCAAAAAAAGUUGAAAGAAAUGUCUGCUCUGGUUGCUGACUGUUUCAGCUCCACCUUAACCUCAGUCUGUGGUUGUGGGAUGCCUCAGAAGUCGGGAAGGUCCCCGCCGCCAACAUGGGGAGUGUGGGGCUAGACCCAGGUUCCAGCCCAGCUCUGACACGCAGUGUGCUCAGUGGGACGUGUUGGCAUGCAUGCAAGGCUGUAGCGCUGCCAGCCCCCAUAUGCUGCCUUCUUGAGGGCUGGCGGUGCCCUUCAGGACUGGCUGCAUCCUUCGUCCCAUUUGAGUGGGAAGUAGUAGGUAAUAAAACCUCAGAAUAUUCCUUGACCGCUGACCACCCAGGCAGGCAUCUGUGGUCCUCCAGCUCAGGCCUGCUUGGGCCCUGUCAAGCCCCUGUGGCCAAUCACUCAGCUGACCUCGCUGCUGGGCAAUUGAACAGCUACCUGGGUAGCGUAGACGGCCCCUCGGGAUGUUUCAGUUCCCUACAUCCACAUGAUUGAGAAAAGGGCCUCCUCACACAUAGCCUCCCAGCCUUCUGAGAGGAAAUAAGCCUCCAGACAUUGAGUGUGGCCCUGUCCACCCUCAGCAUACAGCAGACCAUGGCCCUGCAAUCCUUUGGCCUUCGGGUUGUUGCAAACCUUUGACAUUCAUGCUCAUGAAAAAUCAAAGGUAUGGGAGCAAGUGGCCUCCCAACUGUUGUUUUCCCAUAGAGGCAGCAUGGUCUCCAGAAGCCAUAUGCAUCCUGGACCCAGUGCCUGUGUUCUCUAGAAAGCCAGCCCACUGUGGCUUCCACGGUAUAGAAUAAUCCAUGAGACCCUGUUCCAUUGAGUAACAGUUUCCUUACCACCUACCAUUUGGUUUCUGUUCUCUGUAAAGGAGAGAGCAGAGACAGGAAAAUGAGCAGAUGUGUUCUGUGGAGAUGGGUGAUUAAUAUAGACAGAGGGCAGGAGUGACUCUUGGGCUGCCAAUUCCCUGGGACACAAAUGAAGUCUGGGUGCCUUUUGAGGUACACAGGCAAUGCGGGCCAGCCUCGAAUGUGAUGCCCAAAGCAAGAGUCUUGAGUUUACCACCAACAGCAAAGUUGCUACUUUAGCUAGUGGAAGAGCUUCCUGCCAUCAAGGGAGGACAGCCAAAGCCCUGGAUGGGUGACCACAGUACCUGACCUUAACUGAACCUCUUCUUUUCUGUUAAAAUGGACAUUGAGUGAGUGUCGCCUGCAGUUUCUGGAAGCCCUGGAUGCAGUGAGAGAGACUGUUCCUGUGAACGGGGCCACCCAAAGGCAUUUACAGGACAAAGGAUUGGAGAGAGACCAGACCACACUGCAAGAGAGUGAGCCACCAGAACUGCCAGGCACCGCAGGGUUGUGGUUGCUGACGGGUGCUCGGUCUCCUCAAGGACUCGCUGGGGUUUCAGCUUCAGGACAACGUGGGGCUGCGUCCACGCUGACGGGAGCUGGGUUUCCUGAGGACGCAGGCGACGCUGGAGGAACAGUCUCAGAUUUACCUGACGGCCACCACUCAGAGCUCCCGAAGAGCCCAGAGAUUUCUCCUGGAAGGAAAGGUUCUGGAAAAUCAGAGGGAUAAAUAAAGGAUGCAGCUGAUUCCUGCCUUGUGCUGAUGCCCAAGAGGGUGAGGAGAGUCCAACAUGCCUUGGAAGUCUGACUCAUUGCCCUAGUCUGAGCUGCACUGAGAAAAACUCUGGGCUUCGCAUUCCAUCUAGGACCUCCUGACUGAAGUCACCCUGCCUCUAGGAGAAAUUCGACUUGCAUUCGUACUGCCACUAAAGCCCAGUUCUUCGUGUAAAACUGCAGGCUUUUGAAGAGCCACAGGCCCGAGGCCUAGCUAGGGCAUACCUGGUUGAGGCUGUUUGUUAGAUGCAGAACACCGUGCUUUGAGGAGUUGAUUCAGGGAAUGAAACAGUGGGUAACCUGUGUCUCUUUUGACUUGUUAGAAACCACAGGGAUGUAUGGUGCAUGUGCCCAUGGAAAUGGGGGCCUGAUGGAAAGAGCCUUGCUUUCACAUUUUCAAAGCGCCAUGCAUGCUGCCUUGAAGGACCUGAAAUUCACUGCUGUUGACAGGCCUCUAGCCACUGUAGGCCUGGCUCUGGGAAGAAAAUGAGUUUCCUCUAUGUUAACCAGGUGCUUCCAUGGCCCGGGUGGAGUUUAGCCUGCCAUGCUCUAGAGAUAAAGGGAAACUCAAUGUGAGUACUUGCCUCGAGGAAUCGCCCUGAGUAUCCGUACAGAAAGGGGGCAUGCAGCUGUUUCCAUGAGGUCUUCGUCGGUGUUCUGCUGUAGUUUAAAUGAAGUACCCUUUUCAGGACUCGUAGGCCCGUCGGGUGUUCAUCAUUUCCCUCCAGGAUUAGUGAGUACUUGUAGAACGCUGUGGGCCUGCUGAGCAGCAUUGAGACCCAUAGGUUGGGCCCUCAGAGGCCCUCUGUGUAUGCCGAGUGAUGGUCAACACACUGCACUUUCCUUAAGGGGAGCUACAUUUCCAGAGCCCUCAAACAGCCUCAAGACCACUUUUGUGGCUAGUGAGAUGUGCCGUGGAAGUCUUCUUCAUAACCAUCGUCUGAGCUCCCAUGGUAAAACAUUCUGCUUAAAAUUCUUCGAGGAACUCGUACAUGAAGUCACUCCGCUCGAGGAGAAAUUCAGCAUCCUACCAUGCUGUGUUGCUAACGGGACACUCAGCGUGAGCAGUUGCCUCAAGGACAUCUAGCAACCUCGCGUGGGAACCCUAUUCCCAGCUGGAACACGGAGUACCGCCAGGCCCGCCUUGGUCUGCUAAGCAACUUCCAGGCCCGUAGCCCUUCGGAGCCACUCUGUGUAUACCGAAUAUAGGGCCACACACUGCCCUACUUCAUGGGACAGCUUGAAAUCCCCAGCACUCCCAGCAAUUCACGAACACCGUUCUAGCAUGUCCAAAAUGCCGGGUAAGUCUGAUUCAUUGCCCUAGUCUGAGCUGCACUGAGAAAAUCCCUCGGCUUCAUAUUCCAUUUAGGACCUCUUGCCUGAAGUCAUGCUGCCUCCAGGAGAAACUCAGCUUGCGUUUCUACUGUCACUAAAGCCCAGUUCUUCGUGUAAUACUGCAAGCUUUUGAAGAACCACAGGCCCGGAGGCUUAGCUAGUGUGUACCUUGUUUGGGACAGUUUGCUAGAUGCAGAACACCAUGCUUCGAGGAGUUGAUUCAGGGAAGGAACCCCUGGGUAACCUGUGUCUCUUUUGGCUUGUUAGAAACCACAGGGAUGGAUGCUGCGUGUGCCCAUGGAAAUGAGGCCCUGAUGGAACUAGCCUUGCUUUCCCAUUUUGAAAGCUCCAUGCAUGCUGCCUUGAAGCUACCUGAAAUUCACUGCUGUUGACAGGCCUCUAGCCACUGUAGGCCUGGCUCUGGGAAGAAAAUGAGUUUCCUCUAUCUAAACCACGUGCUUCCAUGGCCGGGGUGGAGCUCAUCCUGCCAUUCUCUAGAUAUAAAGGGAAACUCAAUGUGAGUACUUGCCUCGAGGAAAGGCCCUGAGUAUCCGUACAGAAAGGGAGGCAUGCAGCUCUUUCCAUGAGGUCUUAGUCACCGUUCUGCUGUAGUUUAAAGGAAGUACCCUUUUCAGGACUACUAGACCCCUCUGGUGUGCAUCAUUUCCCUCCAGGAUCACUGAGUAGCUCCAGACCCCUGUGGUCCUGCUGAGUAACAUCAAGCCCCAUAGGUCGGUCCCUCGGAGGUCCUCUGUGUAUGCCGAGUUAUGGGCAACACACUGCAUGUUCCAUAAGGAGAGCUACAUUCCAGAGCCCUCGAAAAGCCUCAGGACCAUAUUUCUGGCCAGUCCAAUGUGCCGUGGAAGACUUCGUCAAGGCCAUCGUCAGAGCUGCCAUGGGAAAGCAUUCUGCUUACAAUUCUUCGAGGACCUCGUACCUGAAAUCUCUCUGAUCGAGAAGAAAUUCACCAUCCGACCAUGCUGUGUCGCUAACAGGACACUCAGCAUGAGCACUUGCCUGUAGUUAAGUCCUUGAAUUUCCGUGUAGAAUCAGAGGUAUGCAGCAGUUUCCCUGAGGCUGUAGCUCUGCUGUGCAUUAUCUUAACAGCAGUACGCUUUUCAGGACACCUAGGAGCCUCACGUGGGCACCCCGUUCCCGGCAGGAACAGUGAGUCGCCCCAGGCCCCCCUGGGCCUGCUAAGCAACUUCCAGGCCCGUAGCCCUUCGCUGCCACUCUGUGUAUGCCGAGUAUAAGGCAACACACUGCCCUUCAUGGGACAGCUUGAAAUCCCCAGCACUCUCACAGGUUCACAAACCCGGUUCUAGCUCGUCCAACAUGCCCUGGAAGUCUGCCUCAUAGCCCUAGUCUGAGCUGCACUGAGAAAAGCCCUCGGCUUCGAAUUCCAUCUAGGAUCUCCUGCCUGAAGUCACCCUGCCUCCAGGAAAAAGUCGGCUUCCGUUCCGACUGCCACUAAAGCCAGAAUAUGUAUGCCGAUUAUAGGGCAACACACUGCACUCCUUCAUGGGACAACUUGAAAUCCCCAGCACUCCCAGAGUUCCACGUAUACCGUUCUAGAAAAUCCAACAUGCCAGGGACGUCUGACUCAUGGCCCUAGUGUGAGCUGCACUGAGAAAAACACUCGGCUUCACAUUCCAUAUAGGACCUUGUGCCUGAAGUCACCCUCCCUCCAGCAGAAAGUCGGCUUGCGUUCUGACCACCACUAAAGCCCAGUUCUUUGUGUAACACUGCAGGCUUUUAAAGAGCCACAGGCCCAUCGACUUAGCUACAGUGUACCUUGGUUGAGGCAGUUCGCUAGCUUUAGAACACCCUGCUUUGAGGAGUUGAUUCAGGGAAGGAACCACUGGGUACCCUGUGUCUCUUUUGACUUGUUAGAAACCACAGGGAUGUGUGUCGCGUGUGCCCAUGGAAAUGGGGUCCUGAUGGAACUAGCCUUGCUUUCCCAUUUCGAAAGCUCCUUUCAUGCUGCCUUGAAGCUACUUAAAAUUCACUUUUGUUGACAGGCCUCUAGACACUAUAGGCCUGGCUCUGGGAAGAAAAUGAGUUUCCUCUAUCUAAACCAGAUGCUUCCAUGGCGGGUGUAGAUCUCAGCCUGCCAUGCUCUAGAGCUAAACAGAAACUCAACGUGAAUACCUGCCUCAAAGAAAGACCUAGAGUAUCCGUACAGAAAGGGAGGUGUGCAGCUGUUUCCAUGAGGUCUUAGUUGCCGUUCUGUGUUAUUUUAAAGGAAGUACCCUUUUCAGGACUCCUAGGUGCCUCAGGUGUGUGUCAUUUCCCUCCAAUAUCACUGAGUACCUCGAGACCCCGGUGGGCCUACUGAGCAAUAUUGAGGCCCAUAUGUCGGUCCCGUGGAGGCCCUCUCUGUAUGCUGAGCGAUGGGCAACAAACUGCACGUUCCUUAAGGAGAGCUACAUUUCCAAAGCCCUCGAACAGCCUCAGGACUACAUUUCUGGCUAGUCCGACGUGCCAUGGAAUUCUUCGUCAUGGCUGUCGUCAGAGCUGCUAUGGGGAAAUAUUCUGCUUACAAUUCUUCUAGGACCUCAUACCUGAAGUCACUCUGCUCGAGGAGAAAUUCAUCAUCCUACCAUGCUGUGUCACUAACGGGAUACUCAGCGAAGAGCUUGCCUUAAGGUAAGGCCCUGAAUUGCCGAGCAGAAGUGGAGGUGUGCAGCAGUUUCCAUAAGACCGUAGCCGCUACUCUGCAUUAUCUUAAUGGCAGUACGCUUUUCAGGACACCUAGGAGUGUCGCGUGGGCACCGUAUUCCCUGCAGGAACACUGAGUACCCCUAGGCCCCCCUGGGCCUGCAAAGCAACUUUCAUGCCCGUAGCCCUCUGGAGCCACUCUGUGUAUGCCGAGUGUAGGACAACACACUCCACUCCUGCUUGGGAAAGCUUGAAAUCCCCAGCACUCUCAUAGGUUUACGAACACUGUUCUAGCACGUCCAACAUGCCGGGGAAGUCUGACUCAUUGGCCUAGUCUGAUCUGCACUGAGAAAAACCCUCCGCUUCGCUUUCCAUCUAGGACAUCCUGCCUAAAGUCACCCUGCCUCCUUGAGAAAGUCGGCUUGUGUUCCAACUGCCACGAAAGCCCAGUUCUUCGUGUAAUACUGCAGGCUUUUGAAGAGGCACAGACCCGGAGGCCUAGCUAUGGUGUACCUUGGUUGAGGCAGUUCGUUACAUGCCGAACACCCUGCUUAGAGGAUUUGAUUUGAUUCAGGGAAGGAACCACUUGGCAACCUGUGUCUCUUUUGACUUGUUGUAAAGCACAGGGUUGUAUCGUACGUGUGCUCAUGGAAAUGGGAUCCUGAUGGAACUAACCUUGCUUUCCCAUUUUGAAAGCUCCAUUCAUGCUUCCUUAAAGCUACGUGAAAUUCACUGCUGUGGACAGGACUCUAGCCACUAUACGCCUGGCUAUGAGAAGAACAUGAGUUUCCUGUAUCUAAACCAGGUGCUUCUAUGACCGGGGUGGAGCUCAGCCUGCCAUGCUCUAGAGCUAAAGGGAAACUCAAUGUGAGUACUUGCAUCGAGGACAGGCCCUGAGUAUCCAGGCAGAAAGGGAGGCACGCAACUGUUUCCAUGAGGUCUUAGUCGCUGUUCUGCUUUAUUUCAUCGGGAGUACCCUUUUUAGGACUCCUGGGCCCCUCGGGUUUGCAUAAUUUUCCCUGCAAGAUUACUGAGUACCUCCAGACCCCUGUGGGCCUGCUGAGCAACAUCGAGGCCCAUAUGUUGGACUCUCGGAGGGGCCCUCUGUUUAUCGAGUGAUGGGCAACACACUGCACCUUCCUUAAGGGGAGCUGCCAUGAGAAAACCGUUUGCUUACAAUUUUUCGAGGAUCUCGUACCUGAAGUCACUCUGCUCGAGGAGAAGUUCACCAUCCUACCUUGCUGUGUCGCUAACGGGAAACUCAGCAAGAACACUUGCCUGUAGGUAAUGCCCUGAAUUGCCCUGCAGAAGCAGAGGCGUGCAGCAGUUUCCAUCAGGCUGCAGCUGCUUCUCUGCAUUAUCUUAACCGCAGUACCCUUUUUAGGAUACCUAAGAGACUCGGGUCGGCACCGUAUUCCCGGCCUGAGUUGGGAGUACCCCCAGGCCUCCCUGGGCUGCUAAGCAACAUCCAGUCCCAGUAGCCCUUCGGAGUCACUCUGUGUAUGCCGAAUGUAGGGCAACAGGUUGCACUCUUUCUUGGGACAGCUUGAAAUCCCCAGUACGCCCACAGGUUCACGAACACUGUUUUGGCACAUCCAACUUGCUGUGGAAGUCUGACUCAUUGCCCUAGUCUGAGCUGAACUGACAAAAACCCUUGGAUUUGCAUUCCAUCUAGGAUCUCUUGUCUGAAUUCACCCUGCCUGCAGGAGAAAGUCGGCUUGCUUCCAACUGUAUCUAAAGCCCAGUUCUUUGUGUAACACUGCAGGCUUUUGAAGAGCCACAGGCCCGGAGGCCUAGCUAGGGUGUUCCUUGGUUGAUGCAGUUCACUAGAUGCAGAACACCCUGCUUCGAGGAGUUGAUUCAGGGAAGGAAUCACUGGGUAACCUGUGUCUCUUUUGACUUGUUUGAAUCCAAAGGGAUAUAUAUGCUGUGUGUGCCCAUGGAAAUUGUGGC